rnacentral:rRNA from 1 species
ACGGGUGAGUAACGCGUGGGAACAUACCCAACUCUACGGAAUAACUCAGGGAAACUUGUGCUAAUACCGUAUACGCCCUUCGGGGGAAGGAUUUAUCGGAGUUGGAUUGGCCCGCGUUGGAUUAGCUAGUUGGUGGGGUAAAGGCCUACCAAGGCGACGAUCCAUAGCUGGUCUGAGAGGAUGAUCAGCCACAUUGGGACUGAGACACGGCCCAAACUCCUACGGGAGGCAGCAGUGGGGAAUAUUGGACAAUGGGCGCAAGCCUGAUCCAGCCAUGCCGCGUGUGUGAUGAAGGCCUUAGGGUUGUAAAGCACUUUCACCGGAGAAGAUAAUGACGGUAUCCGGAGAAGAAGCCCCGGCUAACUUCGUGCCAGCAGCCGCGGUAAUACGAAGGGGGCUAGCGUUGUUCGGAAUUACUGGGCGUAAAGCGCACGUAGGCGGAUCGAUCAGUCAGGGGUGAAAUCCCAGAGCUCAACUCUGGAACUGCCUUUGAUACUGUCGGUCUAGAGUAUGGAAGAGGUGAGUGGAAUUCCGAGUGUAGAGGUGAAAUUCGUAGA